AACUUCUGAAUGUUGACCUCGGAUCAGGUAGGAAUACCCGCUGAACUUAAGCAUAUCAAUAAGCGGAGGAAAAG
rnacentral:rRNA from 1 species